rnacentral:miRNA from 1 species
CCUGGAACUCCCUUGGUAGACCAGGCUGGCCUCGAACUCACAGAGAUCUGCCUGCCUCUGCCUCCCGAGUGCUGGGAU